rnacentral:tRNA from 1 species
AAGCCCCGGCACCCUUACUGGGGUGCGUCUCCAAAUUUGCACUUUGG